rnacentral:rRNA from 1 species
UACGGAGGGUGCAAGCGUUGUUCGGAAUCACUGGGCGUAAAGCGCGUGUAGGCGGCCUUCUCAGUCUGGUGUGAAAGCCCGGGGCUCACCCCCGGAAGUGCCAUUGGAUACUGGAAGGCUGGAGUACCGGAGAGGAGGGUGGAAUUCCUGGUGUAGCGGUGAAAUGCGUAGAUAUCAGGAGGAACACCGGUGGCGAAGGCGGCCCUCUGGACGGAUACUGACGCUGAGACGCGACAGCGUGGGGAGCAAACAGG